GUUUCAUUUUGUUGUAUUUUUUGUAAUAAUGAUAUACAUUAAGAAUAUUUUCUGCCUUGUGUAUGAGAAACUAAAUCAAAUAUUAUUUUCACCCAUUCAAAACUGAACUUUCUACAUGUUUCCAAACCUUCUGUCUGAUCUCUAUCUUUCCAUGUUAACUUGAGCUACAAUCCUCUAUAGUCACAAUCAAAGUAUGAGACAGUCAAUCUGGAGAUUCUGGAGCUUUUGUCACGGCUCUGGAUCAUUUUGACCCAGCAUUUUCUGUUUCUUAUAUUUUGGUGUUUUUCUAGAUGAUGAUUUAAGAUAAGAUAAGAUAAGAUAACCUUUAUUAGUCCCACACGUGGGAAAUUUGUUUUGUCACAGCAGGAAGUGGACAGUGCAAAAGUUAUGAAGCAAAAAUUAGAAUAAAAUAAAAUAAGAAUAAAUACAGUACACAACUGUUUAUGUUCUGAUUCUAGAGUUGUGCUGGUUUGAUUUUGUAUUACGGGUUACAUUCUUUCAAGUCUGUCUGUCUGUGUCAAGUGUGCGUCUUUGUAAAUUGUUUCUUCUUUCCUGUUUUAUUUUGAUAGUUCCACUCCUUUGUCAGUGUAUUCAGUUUUACCUCCCCCUGUCUCGUUAGCCCUAAUUUCUCCUAGCUGUGUCUCCCACCUGUUUUCCAUUCCCUGAUUACUCCAUUGUGUAUUUAAGCCCCGUGUUUGUCUUUGUCGCGUUGUACUUUCUACAUGUUGUGUGUUUGUUGUGUUCCAGUUCCAAGUUUUGUUUUUUGUGAGUUAUUUUUAAGGAGAUUUUUCCAGCAUUAAAGCUGUGUUUUGAGUUCCAGUCCUGUCUUUGAGAGUCCUGCAUUUUGGGUCCUUUUUCCUGCCUGCCACACAGCCUCUCAUGACAGAAAGAUGCGACCGCUACAUGGACCCCGCAGCGUCUGAUGAGCUUCAGGUGGACAUAAUUUAUUCUGUGAAUAAGUUAUGUGACCUGUGGCUGGAUUAUCCGGAAGAAGAGUUUCAGCGUGCUGUAGCUGACUGGCUACAGCGACUGGUUUCCGGUCUCCGGACUCGCUUCACCCACUCAUACAGGAUUUUUAUCCUUAAUGAGCUUCAUCUUCAUCCCCCAGCCACUACCGCUUACCUACCCAGCUCGGCGAAGGCUAUGCCGCCCGGCCCGCCGGACUUGGAGUUGCCCGACCCAUCGACCACCGGCGCGUCACCCCACAGCCGGACUUCAGGAUGUCAAAGCAGCCGGCUGUGGAGAGUGAAAAGGACACUUUUUCUGUUUCUUUGGACCUUGGGACUGUUUAUUCUGGGGCUAUGUGUUUUUUGUGUCAGCUGCCUAGCCAGGAGCUCCGUUUUCAUCACAGCCACCAGUCCAGCCAGGAGCUCCGUUUUCAUCACAGCCACCAGUCCAGCCAGGAGCUCCGUUUUUAUCACAGCCACCAGUCCAGCCAGCUGUUCAGCCGCCCUCAGUUCAGUCGCCCUCAGCAGCCCAGUCUCCUGUAUUGCCACUAGUCCAGCCAUUAGCGCGGCCUGCACCUCAGCCAUUAGCGUGGCUGGCAGUUCAGUUAACUACACAGGUUGCAGCUCAACAGUCUAUUCAGCCACUAUGUCCACCCACUCAUUCUAAGGAGGAGGAUAGCCCUACUAAGACUUUUGUUGUUCCUCUAGACCUGGCCUAUUUAGAGACUGUUACUCUCUCCAGGGUGUCCCCAGAGGCUGAAUUUCAGCCCUCAGUUAACUCUGGACACGAAGAAGCCAGCGCAACCUGUUUCUCUUGGGAACUCAAUUGGGUUGUCUCAGUGAUUGGUCCCUGCUGAGAGCUCAGGGGAGUUAAUUCUGCCACCUCCGUUCUAUGCUGGAAGCUCUAGUGAGCUCAUUCGGCCAGCUAAGGACUGCAUCCUGCUGUUACUGCCUGAGCAGAGCCUCUGUCCUGCGUGGCUCCAAUCAGCUCUCUGUUCCCCGCAGCCGGCCUCCGGACCUGUUUUGUCGCCGCCGCUGCCCUCCCCAUGGUCGGCCUCCAGACCUCUCUCAUCUCUGUCACUGGCCUCCGCGUCGGCCUCCUGAACGGUCUCAUGACAGCUUUCAAAUGAACCUUAAAGAUUUUCCCAGGAAUACCUCAAAUAACAACCGUACCUCAGACUUCAUUUUAAGAAAAUUUAAAUGAUACAGUGGAAAGUUUCUGCCUCUGUGAUUAUCUGCCUAAGACUGUAAAUGUUGGGUUUGAUUUUAAUUGUUAACAAGUCUGAUGUUGACUACUUGGUAGUGAUGCUAAAACCCCCCAAUCAUUUUAUUGUCAGCUUUUCUACCAUCACCUGAACACCUGAAGUCAACUCAAUUAAAGUGUAGGAUGCUGCUGAUGGCCACGUAUGUUUGUAUCAGGGCUGUGUUGGGAUCUGUUAGGGGAUGUUACAGAUGGGGCAUGGUGGCUGGAGGUUGCCAGGUUCUUGCAAUAUUCUUACAAUAAGAAUAAUAAAUACGAUAAAAUAAUAAACAUAGCAAAAACAAUAAAAUAUAAGUAAAUACAAGUCAGUUAACCACUGAGUCAAAAGCCAGCGAAUAAAAAUGCGUUUCUCAAUCUGGAUUUAAAAACCAGCACUGAUGUCGAUUGCCUAAUGUGAAGAAGAUUAUUCCAAAGCUUUGGAGCCACGAUAGAGAACGCUCAGUCUCCUCUCAGUUUCAGCUGUGAUUUGGGGACUGAGAGCAACGGCUCAGGGAUCAGAGCGAACGAGUGGGGACAUAGUGCUUCAGCAAAUCAGACAAAUAUGCAGGUGCCAGACCAUUUAAGGAUUUAAAAACCAAUAAAAACUUUAAAAUGAAUCCUAAAUUCAAUUGGAAGCCAGUGCAGGGAGGCCAGAGCUGGAGUAAUGUGCUCAAAUUUCCUUCUACCAGAUAAAAACCGUGCCGCAGCAUUCUGUACUAGUUGCAGGCGUGUCAGUUUCCAGUCCAACCCCUAUUAAAAGGGAGUUGCAAUAAUCCAAGCGUGAGGUUAUAAAAGCAUGGAUAAAC
ensembl:lncRNA